rnacentral:tRNA from 1 species
GCCGAGGUAGCUCAAUGGCAGAGCAAUCGCUUCGUAAGCGAUAGGUUGUGGGUUCAACUCCCAUCCUCGGCU